GAGGAAUAAAGGCUGUGAGAGUGGAUAGUAGGACAUACAAACAGGUCUUGGCACUUUUCCAACGUGACGUACUCGUGAGAAGCUGUGACCCUGUUUCGUUGAAUCAGCAGGGAUUCAAGUUUUGUCUAAGACUUUGUAUCAGAGAUUUGCAGCAUCACCUCCUGAGCUUCUCAGCGACAUGAUCGAGUCGG